AUACGGAGGAUGCGAGCGUUAUCCGGAUUUAUUGGGUUUAAAGGGUGCGUAGGCGGCCUUGUAAGUCAGCGGUGAAAUUUUGCAGCUUAACUGUAAAAGUGCCGUUGAUACUGUGAGGCUAGGAUUUGGUUGCUGUGGGUGGAAUGUGUGGUGUAGCGGUGAAAUGCUUAGAGAUCACACAGAAUAUCGAUUGCGAAGGCAGCUCACAAAGCCAAGAUUGACGCUGAGGCACGAAAGUGUGGGGAUCAAACAGGAUUAGAUACCCUGGUAGUCCACACUGUAAACGAUGAUGGCUAACCGCUGGUUUAUUCGGAUCAGUGGCCAAGCGAAAGCGAUAAGCCAUCCACCUGGGGAGUACGACCGCAAGGUUGAAACUCAAAUGAAUUGACGGGG
rnacentral:rRNA from 1 species